AUUUUCUUACAAUUUUGAGAAAAUUACAGGUUGUUGAACUUUAUAUCUGAUAUAAUAGAUUUUGCACAAACUCCUGCAAAAGUGCAAUUUAUUGUUGCAUGAAAAGAAUUCAAAUUCUAAGUAAGAUUCAGACCUAUGAUCCACAAAGAACAUGACCCACAAUAUGCCAUUUUUGGUCUACCAAAUUUGGAAAAAUUAAAGAACACUUUAGAAUAAAUCUAAGAUUAUAUUUUUUAUCCAUAACAUGAGCCAAGUUGUAUUGCGCAAUCGUUUCCUCACACCGGAUGUUUAAAGCACUCAAGUAAAUGCCCAAACCUACCGCAGUUUCACGUUUUCCGGGAAAAUCGCAUAAAUUUGCCAACUUCAGUCUAUAAAUUCACAUGGGCCGCACUACUCACGACUCAAUUUUGUAAACUAAAAUUAAAAUGCAAAGUUCGAUUAACACUUUCCAUCAAAAAAAUUAACUCGUAAGCAAUGCGGCCAUGUCGAAAAAAAAAAAAUAAUGAUAACAAAAGUGUCGUCUGGAAACGUCAGAUUCCAAGGAAGUCAAUACAUACACCUAACACAGUUGAUACGACUCAAAAAGAAACAGCAAAGAGAUAUGCCAAGGAGUGGUCCCUAAUUCUUUCUCUGUUUCAACUGUCCAUGGAGAGUAAAACCAAAACACAGAUCCAGGAUUUCAAAGAAAUAUAGGUCGGUGAUCACCACUCUGAUAGGGAGGGCACCAUCUGAUCAUGAUUUUCUGUGUAAUAUAUGCCAGAGUGUGUGUGUUGCUCCCAUAUUAAACAGAAGAAUAUCAAGUCGGUUAGGCAACAGAUUCAAGACAGUCCAGCACCACCACCAGCAGCAGCAGUUCUUCCAAUUAGUCCCCCUUCUGUAUCACUCCCAUCCCCAUGUACAUCAAGAGGGCACACUUCAUGCUGUAUCUGCAAGUGACCAGGUCCAAAGUUAGUUGUAGUCCCAGUAGGAGUAAGGCAUGAAAUCUUCAUUUCAAAAGAGGCCAUCAUUCCUGCCGGGGCUCGCUUCUGUACAAAUCACCUACAACAAGACAUAGAAGAACUUGAACCUAUUGCUGACAACACCAUGUUCAACAAAACAGGAGUGACAUAAUUAAUCAAACAAGUUUUUGAGAGCUGAAGUUUUGAGAAAAGAGAAAAUAAGGUUGGAUUUUGACAACAGUGAAAGUCUAAAAGUGAGCAUCAGAAUCUCCUGAGAACCCCUAAAGCUGCUUUUGAGGACUUGCUGAGAUAUGUAAACCUGUAGAAUAUGGAAACUUGUGCUAGAUAAAAGCUUUAUAACCUUUCUACCAGUGAUGUAUUUGUUGACAAUAAAAAGGGUAUUUGAUUUUA